GACGAACGCUGGCGGCGUGCUUAACACAUGCAAGUCGAACGAAGUGGCGAACGGGUGAGUAACGCGUAAUCAACCUGCCCUUCAGAGGGGGACAACAGUUGGAAACGACUGCUAAUACCGCAUACUGAAGGAGGGGAUUGCGUCUGAUUAGCUAGUUGGAGGGGUCACGGCCCACCAAGGCGAUGAUCAGUAGCCGGGCUGGAGGGAAGGACCGCUACAUUGGGACUGAGGACCGGCUCAAGCUCCUACGGGGGGCAGCAAUGGGGAAUUUUCCGCAAUGGGCGGAAGUCUGACGGAGCAACGCCGCGUGAGUGAUGACGGCCUUCGGGUUGUAAAGCUCUGUUAAUCGGGGCGCGUUACCGGAAUAGAAAGCCACGGCUAACUACGUGCCAGCAGCCGCGGUAAUAC
rnacentral:rRNA from 1 species